UUUAGGCAACUGAUGAUUUCCUAUAUGUAAUGGGUAAUUUGCGUCUGAUAAUUGAUAAUGAUGCUAUCACCUUGGAGAUCUGAUGCCAUUU